rnacentral:rRNA from 1 species
UACGGGGGGGCAAGCGUUGUUCGGAAUUACUGGGCGUAAAGGGCUCGUAGGCGGCCAACUAAGUCAGACGUGAAAUCCCCAGGCUCAACCUGGGAACUGCGUCUGAUACUGGAUGGCUUGAAUCCGGGAGAGGGAUGCAGAAUUCCAGGCGUAGCGGUGAAAUGCGUAGAUAUCUGGAGGAAUACCGGUGGCGAAGGCGGCAUCCUGGACCGGCAUUGACGCUGAGGAGCGAAAGCCAGGGGAGCAAACGGG